rnacentral:tRNA from 1 species
ACCUGGCUGGCUCAGUCAGUAGAGCAUGCGACUCUGGAUCUCAUGGUCAUGAGUUCAAUGUCCAUGCUGGGCG